rnacentral:rRNA from 1 species
GACGAACGCUGGCAGCGUGCUUAACACAUGCAAGUCGAACGAAGUGGCGAACGGGUGAGUAACGCGUAAUCAACCUGCCCUUCAGAGGGGGACAACAGUUGGAACCGCAUGCUAAUACCGCAUCCGGAAGGAGGGGAUUGCGUUUGAUUGGCUCGUGGGAGGGGGAACGGCCCACCAAGGCGAUGAUCAGUAGCCUGUCUGAGAGGAUGAACCGCCACAUUGGGACUGAGACACGGCCCAGACUCCUACGGGAGGCAGCAGUGGGGAAUCUUCCGCAAUGGACGAAAGUCUGACGGAGCAACUCCGCGUGAGUGAUGACGGCCUUCGGGUUGUAAAGCUCUGUUAAUCGGGACGCGGUACCGGAAUAGAAAGCCACGGCUAACUACGUGCCAGCAGCCGCGGUAAUAC